rnacentral:rRNA from 1 species
AUUGAACGCUGGCGGCAGGCCUAACACAUGCAAGUCGAGCGGAUGAAGGGAGCUUGCUCCUGGCUUCAGCGGCGGACGGGUGAGUAAUGCCUAGGAAUCUGCCUGGUAGUGGGGGAUAACGUCCGGAAACGGGCGCUAAUCCCGCAUACGUCCUGUGGGAGAAAGUGGGGGAUCUUCGGACCUCACGCUAUCAGAUGAGCCUAGGUCGGAUUAGCUAGUUGGUGGGGUAAAGGCCUACCAAGGCGACGAUCCGUAACUGGUCUGAGAGGAGGAUCAGUCACACUGGAACUGAGACACGGUACAGAGUCCGACGGGAGGCAGCGGUGGGGAAGAUUGGACGAUGGGCGAAAGCCUGAUCCAGCCAUGCCGCGUGUGUGAAGAAGGUCUUCGGAUUGGAAAGCACUUUAAGGUGGGAAGAAGGGCAGUAAGUGAAUACCUUGCUGUUUUGACGUUACCAACAGAAGAAGCACCGGCUAACUUCGUG